UACAGAGGGGGCAAGCGUUAUUCGGAAUCAUUGGGCGUAAAGAGCGUGUAGGCGGCCUGGUAAGUCCGCUGUGAAAGUCCAGGGCUCAACCCUGGAAUGCCGGUGGAAACUGUCAGGCUCGAGUCCGGAAGAGGCGAGUGGAAUUCCUGGUGUAGCAGUGAAAUGCGUAGAUAUCAGGAGGAACAUCGAUGGCGAAGGCAGCCCCUUGGACCUGUACUGACGCUCAUGCACGAAAGCGUGGGGAGCAAACAGG
rnacentral:rRNA from 1 species